rnacentral:rRNA from 2 species
UGCAAGUCGAGCGAACUGAUUAGAAGCUUGCUUCUAUGACGUUAGCGGCGGACGGGUGAGUAACACGUGGGCAACCUGCCUGUAAGACUGGGAUAACUUCGGGAAACCGAAGCUAAUACCGGAUAGGAUCUUCUCCUUCAUGGGAGAUGAUUGAAAGAUGGUUUCGGCUAUCACUUACAGAUGGGCCCGCGGUGCAUUAGCUAGUUGGUGAGGUAACGGCUCACCAAGGCAACGAUGCAUAGCCGACCUGAGAGGGUGAUCGGCCACACUGGGACUGAGACACGGCCCAGACUCCUACGGGAGGCAGCAGUAGGGAAUCUUCCGCAAUGGACGAAAGUCUGACGGAGCAACGCCGCGUGAGUGAUGAAGGCUUUCGGGUCGUAAAACUCUGUUGUUAGGGAAGAACAAGUACGAGAGUAACUGCUCGUACCUUGACGGUACCUAACCAGAAAGCCACGGCUAACUACGUGCCAGCAGCCGCGGUAAUACGUAGGUGGCAAGCGUUAUCCGGAAUUAUUGGGCGUAAAGCGCGCGCAGGCGGUUUCUUAAGUCUGAUGUGAAAGCCCACGGCUCAACCGUGGAGGGUCAUUGGAAACUGGGGAACUUGAGUGCAGAAGAGAAAAGCGGAAUUCCACGUGUAGCGGUGAAAUGCGUAGAGAUGUGGAGGAACACCAGUGGCGAAGGCGGCUUUUUGGUCUGUAACUGACGCUGAGGCGCGAAAGCGUGGGGAG